AAUCUAGUACCCAUGAGCAGAAUCUCUCUCUCCCUCGUUAUCUCAUAUUCUAAGCAAAGUUAAAAGAAUGGCAAGUGAAAAUUCACCAUGAAAAAAGCAUAUGUGACAGUGGAGUCUCCACUUGUAGCAAGAGGAAUAUGCGGAGACAAAUUUAGGCAUCUGUGUGCGUGAGCAAAUUGGCAAGCUUGAUUGGAGGAGAUUGAGAUUCAACUUCAAGUCGGGGGAGAAAGCAACGUUUGUAAGGAAA
rnacentral:misc_RNA from 1 species